CACGUAGGGGCCGAGCGUUGUCCGGAAUCACUGGGCGUAAAGGGCGCGUAGGCGGCCUGAUAAGUAGGGGGUGAAAUCCUGCGGCUUAACCGCAGGGCUGCCUUCUAAACUGUCAGGCUAGAGCACGGUAGAGGCAGAUGGAAUUCCCGGUGUAGCGGUGGAAUGCGUAGAGAUCGGGAAGAACAUCAGUGGCGAAGGCGGUCUGCUGGGCCGUUGCUGACGCUGAGGCGCGACAGCGUGGGGAGCAAACAGG
rnacentral:rRNA from 1 species